CAGUCGCCGCGGGAAUACGAAGGGUGCAAGCGUUACUCUGAAUUACUGGGCGUAAAGCGUGCGUAGGUGGUGGUUUAAGUCCGUUGUGAAAGCCCUGGGCUCAACCUGGGAAUUGCAGUGGAUACUGGGUCACUAGAGUGUGGUAGAGGAUAGUGGAAUUUCCGGUGUAGCAGUGAAAUGCGUAGAGAUCGGAAGGAACAUCUGUGGCGAAGGCGACUAUCUGGGCCAACACUGACACUGAGGCACGAAAGCGUGGGGAGCAAACAGGAUUAGAUACCCCAGUAGUCCCUGUCUCUUAUAC
rnacentral:rRNA from 1 species